rnacentral:tRNA from 1 species
AGGGCUGUAGUUAACUAUAACAUUUGGUUUGCAUCCAAAAGGUGUUGUUCAUCAACCUGCCUUA